AGUGAACGCUGGCGGCAGGCCUAACACAUGCAAGUCGAACGGCAGCACAGUAAGAGCUUGCUCUUACGGGUGGCGAGUGGCGGACGGGUGAGGAAUACAUCGGCAUCUACUUUUUCGUGGGUGAUAACGUGGGACAACUUAUGCUAAUACCGCAUACGACCAACGGGUGAAAGCAGAGGAUAUUCGGAGUCUGCGCGUUUGAAUGAGACGAUGUCGGAUUAGCUAGUUGGCGGGGUAAGGGCACACCAAGGCAACGAUCCGUAGCUGAUCUGAGAGGAUGAUCGGCCACACUGGAACUGAGACACGGUCCAGACUCCUACGGGAGGCAGCAGUGGGGAAUAUUGGACAAUGGGCGAAAGCCUGAUCCAGCCAUACCGCGUGAGUGAAGAAGGUCUUCGGGUUGUAAAGCCCUUUUGUUGGGAAAGAAAAGCAGCGGGUUAAUACCCCGAUGUUCUGACGGUACCCAAAGAGAAAGCACCGGCUAACUUCGUG
rnacentral:rRNA from 1 species